rnacentral:lncRNA from 1 species
UUACAUUCACUACUCUUUUCACAAAUGUAUUCAAAGUUCAUGAUAAAUACUUUCUCCGUUCUAUAAUAUAAAAAUAUUUUUAACAUUACACUAGUAUAAAAAUCGUUCUUAUAUUAUAAAACGGAUGGAGUAGUAUGUAGUAUAAAUCAUUUUAAAUCACUACAUUUGUUUACAGAGUGAGUAUUUUGCAACACAAACAAUACUCGGCUCACUCAAACCAGCAAAACACGGCUCACCAUUUGCGACUCCAAAAUCCAAAUCGAAAGCUCUCUCCAC